CCUACGGGGGGCAGCAGUGGGGAAUAUUGGGCAAUGGGCGCAAGCCUGACCCAGCAACGCCGCGUGAAGGAAGAAGGCUUUCGGGUUGUAAACUUCUUUUGUCAGGGAAGAGUAGAAGACUGUACCUGGCGAAUAAGCCACGGCUAACUACGUGCCAGCAGCCGCGGUAAUACGUAGGUGGCAAGCGUUGUCCGGAUUUACUGGGUGUAAAGGGCGUGUAGCCGGGAAGGCAAGUCAGAUGUGAAAUCUGGAGGCUCAACCUCCAAACUGCAUUUGAAACUGUUUUUCUUGAGUAUCGGAGAGGCAAUCGGAAUUCCUAGUGUAGCGGUGAAAUGCGUAGAUAUUAGGAGGAACACCAGUGGCGAAGGCGGAUUGCUGGACGACAACUGACGGUGAGGCGCGAAAGCGUGGGGAGCAAACAGGAUUAGAUACCCCGGU
rnacentral:rRNA from 1 species